rnacentral:lncRNA from 1 species
CAUCUGGAAUGAAAGGUUGACUAAGAAGACAGCAACCAGGCUGAUUUCGUCAAGGGCCUUCAAUCAAGUUCAGAAGUCUCUAGAUCUGUUCGUUGCUAGUUCCGCUGCACCCAAGGUCCGUGGGAGGAGCUAGGAUCGUGCUCCAACACACACGCUGUCUAUGGGCAUGCAUUGUCUCUCGUAUGAAGAUGAGAAGUGCACACGUUGCCUAUGGGCACAUGCCACCUCUUGCAUGAAGAUGAGAUAUGCACAAGCUGCCUCUCGCGU